GAUACAAGGGUCAUAAGCUAGAAUGCGUUCCUGCUUGCAGGAAAAGAAUUCUGGCUUAAUGACCCGCCUACACAUGAGGAAGGAGUGAUUUUCAUUGGAAAAUCAACGGAUUCCGAAUGUGUGUAGAAUUGUGAGAGUUGCGAAGCAACGGAACAAUUCGU
rnacentral:sRNA from 1 species